AUUGAACGCUGGCGGCAUGCCUUACACAUGCAAGUCGAACGGCAGCACGGGAGCAAUCCUGGUGGCGAGUGGCGAACGGGUGAGUAAAGUAUCGGAACGUGCCCAGUCGUGGGGGAUAACGUGGCGAAAGUUACGCUAAUACCGCAUACGAUCUAUGGAUGAAAGCGGGGGAUCGCAAGACCUCGCGCGAUUGGAGCGGCCGAUAUCAGAUUAGGUAGUUGGUGGGGUAAAGGCUGACCAAGCCGACGAUCUGUAGCUGGUCUGAGAGGACGACCAGCCACACUGGGACUGAGACACGGCCCAGACUCCUACGGGAGGCAGCAGUGGGGAAUUUUGGACAAUGGGCGAAAGCCUGAUCCAGCCAUGCCGCGUGCAGGAUGAAGGCCUUCGGGUUGUAAACUGCUUUUGUACGGAACGAAAAGGUUUGGCCUAAUAAGCUGAGCUCAUGACGGUACCGUAAGAAUAAGCACCGGCUAACUACGUGCCAGCAGCCGCCGUAA
rnacentral:rRNA from 1 species